rnacentral:misc_RNA from 1 species
GAUGAAGAACGCAGCAAAAUGCGAUAAGUAAUGUGAAUUGCAGAAUUCAGUGAAUCAUCGAAUCUUUGAACGCACAUUGCGCCCCUUGGUAUUCCGAGGGGCAUGCCUGUUCGAGCGUCAUUUCAACCCUCAAGCACAGCUUGGUCUUGGGCUUCGCCGCUAACCCGGCGGGUCUUAAAAUCAGUGGCGGUGCCGUCGGGCCCUGAGCGCAGUAAUCUCUCUCGCUAUAGGGUCCCGGCGGAUGCUGGCCAGUAACCCCCAAUUUUCUAUGGUUGACCUCGGAUCAGGUAGGGAUACCCGCUGAACUUAAGCAUAUCAAUAAGCGGAGGA